AGUGGACAGCCUGGCAGCCUUGGGGGCGGCAGAUGUCACCUGGGACGCAGGGUCAUUCUCUGGGCUCCUGGGACUAAGUUGAGGCAUCGUGAUCCAAGGGAAAUGCGAGCUUUCCAAGGUAACCAAACGAAUAUUUCACACUGCCCGGACACAGCACACAACGCGCUCCCUGUCCAAGGCAGGAGGCAGAAUUGGGAGUCGGAGAAGGAAUAGAAGCUUCCAGGGCCCAUGACGAGGCGGGAGGGGCAGCGGCUGCGCCCACUGGAUCCAGCAUCCGAGGAGAGCCCAGUGGGACACAGCUGUGGAAGAGCAAGCACAGGGUCUGGGGUGAACAGAUGUGUGCUGUGGCGUUUCCUGCCGGCAUCAGAGAUCUCCUCAGAAAAGAAAAAGUCAUGAUCAUUCAAGAACAGCAGGAUUUCUUUUCGUGGCACGUCAAGGAAUAAUGGGUGGAAUAAAUAGCACUGGCCCAGGACCUCGGGGCUAGAAAGAAAUGAGGAAUAAGCAAACAGAAGUCCAAUUUUAAUGGAACAGAGCAUAUUUAGCCUGGUGCCACAGGCGCCAAGAGUUAUGCUUUCCUUGAGAUUAUGAUAAUUACGAAUGAAGAGGAAAUCUUCUUCUGCCAUCUACUCCUGUUGAUGAACAGCUCAAAAAGUCACCCUGACAUGCAUGACAAUCCACGUGGGAACCUGAUUCAGGGUCCAUCAUGAGGUUUGGACUCAGGAAUCCCCUCAUGGAGACAUUUCAACAAAAGGGGGAAAUAGGUAGAGAAACGUGUGUUGAACCAGGUGACUGGUAAGAAUCAUGUUCACGAUGCAUUACUGCUCAGUUUGUACCAAAGACUGUGGUUACUGCAGAAAAUUGACUUAAAAAACCCAACCACAACAAAAACACCAAACAAACCAGAAAAGAAGGCAAGUAAGAAAAUAAAACUGAUGAACAGAGAACUCGUGUACUGUCCCCUCACUCACAUGACCGGCUGAGGGCCCAGGGUGUCCCAAACUGCAGUGGGAGCUGAGGGCAAAGGUGCAAACAGGCUCUGCCCUUGAACGGAUGCUCUGUUGGGGAAGCAGAGACAGAAUGAGUCACCUGAGCGCCGUGGAGGGGCGCGCAGGGAGCCAUUGGGCCUGCUCUGUCCUCACCUCCCACCUGCCCCCAAAUCACAUCCCUGGCAAGGAGGGGUGCACCCCAGUUAACAUCCCUUGGGUUGUGGCUAGAGCCCACCCCGUCUGGCAGGGACUUCUCCAUGAGGGUGAGAAACAAAGUGUGGGGUGGGGGUGGGGAAUGGGGUGGUGGCCAUGGCCCCACCACCAUCACCAUCAGCAGGAAGGUGGUUCUUCAUAAGACCAAGCUCUGUAAGGGGCCACAUCAGGCAGCUCUGAAAACAUUAUCACCUCAAAGGGGCAGAGGCAGGCAGAAGGUGGACCCUGCCAGGAAGUAGCGUUUCCUUUGAGGCUCUGGCUCCAUUUUCAGGUGGGUCAGGCUAGCUGUGAUGAUUGGCUGAGGUUUCAGGGAGCAGCACUGCCAAGGGGACACCUUCCCACCUACAGUGCCCCAACCACUUCCCAUGGCAGAAGGAGCCUUAGCACAGCUCAUCUCUAAACACGAACCCAGGUUAGAAAUUAAAACCCACACCUUUACUUUGUGUUGGUUUCUGUCCCUCUACUUAAGAAGUCAUUUGAAGAGCAGUAGCAGGAGCCGUUGGGAGCGGCCAGGCGGUGGGAUUCGUCCACAUGCUUCUGUUUAUCUCGGUGAUAAAUGAUCUCCUCAUGAUGUGAAAGUCAUGCUGAAAUUAGGUCAUUUUCAAAGAAUUUAUUAAAAGAUUGAAAAUGCAGAGCUGUGGAACACGCAAAUGAUUCUUUGAUGGAGAGAUUUAUACCGGGUUUAUGUAAUUCUCCUAAGAGGCCUUUGUGACCAUGGGCUUGCCCAGAAGUUUCUGUCCAUCUCCCUGCUGGGCCUGCACUAUCCCACACCUUCUCAACUGGGAGACGAGGAACUAGAAUUCCGGGCUGCCCUGGAGCACCUGGGUCCUCUACCAGCGGUGUCUCUCCAGAUGGGGAUUCCUCGAGGCUGCUGCUUCCCUUCUUUGACAGACCAGAAUUCAAGCAAGCCUGAGGUGACUUCCAUGGUGCUAACCGCUCCACCUUUAUUUUCCGGAUGCCACGCAGCCUUCACUUUGUUGGGACCCAGAAGGGUGCAGGUGCCCACAGCUUGGUCCCCUGUGCUAUAAUUGUACACACGGAUUCUUCACCAUGUCCCUUCCCCCCAAAACCCCGCGUGUUGAUCUCACACUGAGUUUUGUUGCCGAUUUCUAUCUUCCAGCUAUUAGAGAAAGUUUGUUUUUUUCCUCCAACUUGUUGGUUGGAAGUCGAGCCCAUGGGGAAGGACUCCAGGUUCGCUGAUGGGAGCCCCCGGGCGCCACUUCCUGCUGAGUGACCCAGGAGAUGCUCCUCACCUUCAGUGCCUCCUCUUGCGUCCCCAAGAUAUUAUUUCGGGGGCUACUCCUGGUGAUAAACCAUGACCCACCGUGGAAAGCCUGAGCAACAAUUAUGAAAACUGCCAAGAAGACCAUCAA